UCCUGGCUCAGAACGAACGCUGGCAGCGUGGAUUAGGCAUGCAAGUCGAACGGGAUCCGGUAGGCAGCAAUGUCGGCCGGUGAGAGUGGCGGAAGGGCGAGGAACACGUGGGCAACCUGUCUUGAGGUGGGGAAAACCUCGGGAAACUGAGGCUAAUACCGAAUGUAGCGCCCGCUCGCAUGAGCGGAGCGCCAAAGGGGCGAAAGCUCCCCUCUUCGAGGGCCCGCGCACCAUCAGCUAGUCGGCGGGUAACGGCCCACCGAGGCUCACGGUUAGCUGGUCUGAGAGGAUGGCCAGCCGCACUGGGACCGAGAUACUGCCCAGACUCCUACGGGAGGCUGCAGUCGAGGAUCAUUUGCAAUGGGCGAAAGCCUGACAAUGCGACGCUGCGUGGAAGGAUGAAGGCCCUCGGGUUGUAAACUCCUGUCAUGGGGGAAAAGGAAACCCUGCCCAAUACGCAGGGAAUUUGAUGGUACCCCAAGAGGAAGCGACGGCUAACUCUGUGCCAGCAGCUGC
rnacentral:rRNA from 1 species